rnacentral:rRNA from 1 species
AUUGAACGCUGGCGGCAUGCCUAACACAUGCAAGUCGAACGAGUGACGGAGGGGUGAGUAAUGUCUGGGAAACUGUCCGAAGGAGGGGGAUAACUAAUGGAAACGGUAUGUAAUACCGCAUACCAUCGGAUGUGUCCAGAUGUGGGUAGAUAGUAGGUGGGGGAACGGCCCACAUAGGCGACGAUCCCUAGCUGGGCUGCGAGGAUGACCAGCCACACUGGAACGGAGACACGGUCCAGACUCCUACGGGAGGCAGCAGUGGGGAAUAUUGCACAAUGGGCGCAAGCCGGAUGCAGCCAUGCCGCGUGUAUGAAGAAGGCCUUCGGGUUGUAAAGUACUUUCAGCAGGGAGGCGUUACUCGCAGAAGAAGCACCGGCUAACUCCGUGCCAGCAGCCGCGGUAAUUC